rnacentral:misc_RNA from 1 species
AUGAAGAACGUAGCGAAAUGCGAUACCUGGUGUGAAUUGCAGAAUCCCGCGAACCAUCGAGUCUUUGAACGCAAGUUGCGCCCGAGGCCACUCGGCCGAGGGCACGCCUGCCUGGGCGUCACGCCAAAACACGCUCCCAACCACUCUCAACGGGAAUUGGGAUGCGGCAUCUGGUCCCUCGUCUCUCAAGGGACGGUGGACCGAAGAUUGGGCUGCCGGCGUACCGCGCUGGACACAGCGCAUGGUGGGCGUCCUCGCUUUAUCAAUGCAGUGCAUCCGGCGCGCAGCUGGCAUUAUGGCCUUUGA